rnacentral:piRNA from 1 species
UAGGAUGACUCGCGCCCUGGAGGCUCGGGA